rnacentral:rRNA from 1 species
UACGGAGGGAGCAAGCGUUGUCCGGAAUCAUUGGGCGUAAAGCGCGCGUAGGUGGCCCCAUAAGUCCGCUGUGAAAGUCAAAGGCUCAACCUUUGAAAGCCGGUGGAUACUGUGGGACUAGAGUACGGAAGAGGCGAGUGGAAUUCCUGGUGUAGCGGUGGAAUGCGCAGAUAUCAGGAGGAACACCAAUAGCGAAGGCAGCUCGCUGGGACGUUACUGACACUGAGGCGCGAAAGCGUGGGGAGCGAACAGG